rnacentral:lncRNA from 1 species
GCAUAGCCGAAUCUUUAGACCAGAAAAGGACCGACUUCUGCUAGGGUUUGAAGGUUAGAUCUACAUCAGAAUCGAAUAAGAACUAAAGUGGAAUCGUUGGCUGAAGGAAUCGGUGGUAAGUUUUCGAAACUAUUUCUUUAUUUCGGGAGUUAAGAAAAGCCGAAACCCUUAUGGGUGGCUAGCGUUUUGGACUAAGGGUUUUGUGCCUCUUUCUGUUUGGUUGUGUAAGCGUUAGUGUGGACAAGGGGGCGUACAGU